UGAAUUCCUGUGAUACUCAGAUUCUAUUUUCAUGCAGAUGUUGCCUUAGUAACAAAGGGAGAGGACAGAAAAUAUGACUGACAAACAGCAAUUUUUCUAUAUAGGUGGUUUUUUUCAAUGCCUCCAGGAACUAUCACUGACUAUGAACCCAAAACUUGGUAGACGAAUACAAGGAAAAAUAUUUCAAGAAAGCUUAAGUUUCAUGAGUGACAUAGUUUUGUCUCAUGAUGACAUAAUGGAAAUAAUUUGAUUUUGGAACAUUGCUGCAGAAGUGACAAGAGCCUUUCUCUCCACUGAAUGCUGCAUGGGGGACUGAAGUGCCGGAAGAAGCUUAUGCACUUAGUGCAAAGGAGAUCAUGCUGCCUGCUUCCUGCUUAUAAAGUCACCUGAAAAUGAGAACAGGAGUUUGAGGGUGCUCUUGUUGCCAGCAUCACAAGAUAUUUAUAUGCCAAAUGCCCUGAAGAUUCAUAUGACUCUUGAUGCUUCAACCACCAUUCCAGAGGACAUAGGUCCGUGCUGAUGAUGGAUUGUUCUCAAUAACAGUCUGAAGCAGUGCGGACCAGAGCAUGUUCAUUCUCAUCAUUGGAAUCAGAUGCCACCAGCAGAAGCCUCAGUAGACAAAAUGUCCAUAGAAUAAGUAGCCUACAUUUCAGACCUUGCCAUGAAUCAUUUGGAGGGGCCACCUCAGGGGGAGGUGAAUGACGAGCCAGCAAACGGAGAGGUGAACGAGUCUGUGGAGGCUGACCUGGAGCACUCUGAGGUGGAGGAGGAGCAGCAGCAAUAUGCCACUCAUUACCCGAGACAUGCCAGUGGCAGCCAAGGCCAGUCGGGGCAGGAGGAGGAGGGGAUGCUAGCUCGGUCGGCCAGUACUGAGAGUGGCUUCCACAAUCACACUGAUACUGCUGAAGGGGAUGUCAUAGCCACAGCAGAGUAUGGCUAUGACACAGACCGAGUCCAGGAAAACGAGGACGAGAGUGCCUAUGCAGUGCAGUAUAGGCCUGAGUCUGAAGAGUAUACGGAAAAUGCUGAAGCUGAGCAUGCGGAGGCCACUCAUGCCCGAACUCUCCCUAACCACUUACACUUUCAUUCCAUUGAACAUGAGGAAGCUAUGAAUGCUGCCUACUCGGGUUAUGUUUACACUCAUGGGCUCUUCCAUCGAGGGGAAGAUGAACAAUAUGCUGAGCCUUACGCCGACUAUGGACUGCAGGAGCAUGUGUAUGAGGAAAUAGGAGAUGCACCUGACCUGGAUGUCAGGGAGGGUCUACGACUCUACGAGCAGGAGAGGGAGGAAGCUGACAACUAUCGCAAGGAAGCUCUGGGUGCCCGCCUUCACCACUAUGAUGAACGGUCCGAUGGAGAGUCUGACAGCCCCGAGAAGGAGGCAGAAUUUGCUCCCUAUCCAAGGAUGGACAGUUAUGAACAAGAGGAAGACAUUGAUCAGAUUGUGGCUGAGGUGAAACAGAGUAUGAGUUCUCAGAGCCUAGACAAGCUGGCUGAAGAUAUGCCAGAAGCAGAGCAGAACUUGGAAUGUGCCCAUACUCCCAGUAGGGGGACACUUGAGAGCAACGGUCAGCUCCCAACUGGCUCCAGGCCCACCGCCAACUCAGGAGAGUCAGUGCAGAGAUACAGCAAGGAAAAAAGGGAUGCAAUAUCUCUGGCCAUUAAAGAUAUUAAAGAGGCUAUUGAGGAAGUGAAGACAAGGACCAUUCGUUCCCCUUAUACCCCAGAUGAACCAAAAGAACCCAUCUGGGUGAUGAGACAGGACAUCAGCCCAACCAGGGAUUGUGAUGAUCAGAGGCCACUAGAUGGAGAUUCUCCAUCUCCUGAUUCCUCUUCGCCCCGUGGUGCUGAAUCAUCUAGUAGGCAACAUCACCAAGAUGUUUGUGGCACAGCAGAACCCUCCACUAAUAAAGAGUCCCGAAAAAGUUUGGCUUCAUUCCCAACCUAUGUUGAAGUUCCUGGACCCUGUGAUCCUGAAGAUUUAAUUGAUGGAAUUAUUUUUGCUGCCAAUUACCUUGGCUCCACUCAGCUCCUUUCUGACAAAACUCCUUCCAAGAAUGUGCGAAUGAUGCAGGCUCAGGAAGCUGUCAGCAGAAUCAAGAUGGCCCAGAAAUUAGCCAAAAGCAGGAAGAAGGCCCCAGAAGGUGAAUCUCAGCCUAUGACUGAGGUGGACCUCUUUAUCUCUACGCAGAGAAUAAAAGUGUUGAAUGCAGACACACAGGAAACCAUGAUGGAUCAUCCUCUGAGGACCAUUUCCUACAUUGCAGAUAUAGGGAACAUUGUUGUGCUGAUGGCUCGGCGGCGAAUGCCUCGAUCUAAUUCCCAGGACAAUGUGGAGGCAUCUCACCCCUCUCAGGAUGGAAAGAGGCAGUACAAAAUGAUUUGCCAUGUCUUUGAAUCUGAGGAUGCACAGCUGAUUGCACAAUCCAUAGGUCAAGCAUUUAGUGUGGCCUACCAGGAAUUCUUGAGGGCCAAUGGAAUAAAUCCAGAAGACCUGAGCCAGAAAGAGUACAGUGACCUGCUCAACACCCAAGACAUGUACAACGAUGACCUCAUCCACUUCUCCAAGUCUGAAAACUGCAAAGAUGUUUACAUUGAAAAGCAAAAGGGAGAAAUUCUAGGUGUUGUGAUUGUAGAAUCUGGCUGGGGCUCCAUCCUGCCCACAGUUAUCAUAGCCAACAUGAUGCAUGGAGGACCGGCAGAGAAGUCUGGAAAGCUGAACAUAGGGGAUCAGAUCAUGUCAAUUAAUGGUACAAGCUUGGUCGGCUUACCACUCUCAACAUGCCAGAGUAUUAUAAAGGGUUUGAAAAACCAGGCCCGGGUUAAACUGAAUAUAGUGAGAUGUCCUCCAGUAACCACUGUCUUGAUCAGAAGACCUGACCUCAGAUAUCAGCUGGGUUUCAGUGUACAGAAUGGGAUCAUCUGUAGCCUUAUGAGAGGAGGUAUAGCAGAGCGAGGAGGAGUGCGAGUGGGCCAUCGGAUCAUUGAAAUCAACGGACAGAGCGUUGUAGCAACACCCCAUGAAAAAAUCGUUCACAUUCUCUCAAAUGCUGUUGGUGAGAUUCAUAUGAAGACCAUGCCAGCGGCCAUGUACAGAUUGUUGACUGCACAGGAGCAGCCAGUUUACAUCUAAGGCUGAUACCUCACCUUCACAACAUGCAUGGAGGAUGUUUCUCCUCAUUAGUGGUUGUGUUUCUAGUCCUGCAUUUCUGUGUCUUCAGAGACAUCUCUCUCGCUCUCUCUUUCUCUCUCUCCAACAUUUUGCUGUGUACAGGUAAAAGGUUUCCAGAAGAUGUUUUUUUGCUGCAUCUUUUUACAAGUUAUAAGCUUUCUGUAAUUCCUCACAGAACAGAAAAAUAGCUGUUAUUCACAAGUAGUUUAACAAAGGACUCAUUGCACUUUUUUAAGUGCCACCAUCAGUUGUAUUUGAAUGGCCAUAACUGGACCACACAAAAACAUGAAUUAUUAUGAAAUUAGAAUGCUUAACAAACAGAUUGAACCACACAGGAAAGUUCUCCUCUUGGACUCCCCAUAGAGGAUUUGGACACCAUUGUACUGUUCUGUGUGCGAUGAGCUUAACGUUACCAACGAAGGGUUCUACACACACAAGGAGAGCAAAGAACCAAGGGGACAGUUUUGCCCUAAAGGAGGAGUUAAAUGCCUGUGAAGACUGAGUUAAUGAAUAAGUGAUGUUGUGGUAAAACUCAUAAUUCAGACACACAUCUUUUAAUUUUCUUGAACAUUCAUUCUUUAGGCUCAUAUAACCUGAAAGUAAGAGUUCCAUUGUCUUCACUAAACAGUACUAUAGAGGGUACUUUCACCAUUUGAUCUCCCAGGUAUAUGAGUCUUUUUUUUCCUCUUUGGGGGGAAAAAAAAUCUCACUUCAUUUUUGGAUGCAGGAUAUCUUUUAUAUUCUCCUUCCUACUUCAGACAGAGGAGAAAGUUAAGUGGCCUAUAAAUAUCCAGCAACAAUUGUAUUGUGGGGACUUCUGCUGAAAAUCUAAAUACACAAUUUCUCGUGUGUGUGUGUGUGUGUGUGUGUGUGUGUGUGUGUGUGUUUAAAACUAUGCUUGAACUUUGAACAAAAAUAGGUCUGCAUACAGUUCUAAGUAAUUUUGUUACUCUGAGCCAGUAUUAACAUAUCUUUGGUCCAAAGAUUGUUUAAUUUUAAUGACUCUUUUUUUUAUUAUUAUUAUUUAGCUCAUGAUCUGGAUAACAGGGAGGGAGGUGGAAUGGGAAUGAGGAAAAAUUAAUUUAUUUGUAAUAUAUAUACAUAGCUAUAAAGUUAAUCCAUGGUUGUCCAUAUGUAGGAUGUUAAAGGGUAUUUAUGUACUUGUACAAUGAAAAAGAGGGUUAAAAAAUGCUAUGGUGGGGUGCAUGAUGUCAAGGAGUUAUAUGGGCUAUAAAUUUUGGAAAGUGGAGGGAGAAAAAAAGAAAUAGUAAUAGUGGAAGUGACUCUUCUUGCUCCCAUGUACAGUAGUUAUGUUCCAUUAGUCCUAUGUACUCACAUUUAAGCUCAUUAUAGAAUCAUGAAUUUAGACCAGUUGGAUGCCUUUAAAUUGAUCAAAAGCAACAGCUUUUGCUACAUUUUAUUACGACACACCGAUUUAAAAUGAUGAAAAUACAGCAAUGCUGGGGGAGUUCUGCAGUUUUACUGUGACUCCAAAUGUAACAACUGCAGAAUUCCCCCAGGACUAAUAUAGGAGCAGGACAAAACAAAAAAUCUCAUCCCUCUUUUUUGGGGAGGUGGUGGGGGAAAGUGACAGCCAUGAACAAAUCUCAUUUAAUGAGGAAUGGAUUGUGCAGUAUGAGCACUGUGGCUGUAGACUGGAGAUGACUUUUUGGAAUUGUUCGCAUAGGUUUCGUAGAUCACACGUGCGUGCAUUUCCAUUAUUAAGUGAGCUGUGAAAACUCUGCCUUUGUCCAAUCACUUAGUUCCAGCUGGUUUCAGGAGCCUAAUUUCCCUUCCAAAACAGUGGACUGAGUAGAGAGAAAAAACAUAAACGUUUUAUUCCAACUGGCAGUGAAUAGUGGAAAUAUUAGAGCAAUAGUGGAAUGCUGAGUAAGCUGUUGUAGUAAAUGAAUAUGUUUGGUGUAAGAGUACUGUACAGUUCCUUGAGGUACAACAGUUCUUGUUGCUCUAUAAUCAAAUCCCAGUCUCUGGAAUAGCAAACUUUACAAUGGUAUAGUGGUGUUAAUCCACAUUAGUAUUUGCUCUACCAUCAGACAGAUGCAAAUCGAUUGUGAAUGACUAGUUAGUAGCGUUUUUAAUGCCAGGCAUAUGGUUUAUAAAGGUCAUAGGAACAAUUUUUUCAUAACUUCCCAUAUGUAUAGUUAAUAUAUGUAAAUAUGAUAUAUACCAUGUAUAAUUUAGAAGAUUAUAUACAGUGCAGCCUUUCCAUAAGUUGCCUGAGUGAAAAGCUACUCUUGAUAACAUGGUUACCACACUGUUGGUUCCCAGCUUUGUUAACUCCCAUAUUAAUUUUCUGCUUUUGUGGCUCCAGCCAACUCCCAUUGAGGAAUCUUUCCAUCAACUUCAGUGGAAGAUGGAUUGAGCCCUCAAUAUACGAAUAUAGGGCUAAAACAGUGAUAGAAUCUUGAAACUAAGGGUCCAAUCCUGAAAACACCUGUGCUUAACUUUAGGCAUCUGAGUAACCCAUUGAUUUAAUUGGGACUGCACAUCCAAGUAAAAACUAAGCAUGUGAGUGCAGGAUUUGAGGCCUGAGAAUGUGAAUUAGUCUAUUACAAUAAACAUAUUGUGAUUUCUAAACAAGGACAGAGAGAUAGAUAGAGUAAGCACUCCUAAUGUAAACAGUCCCAGAAGUUUAGUCUGGAAAGAGAAAAAGUGUGUUUCAGAAAUACAAUGAACUCAAAAGGGAGAGUUGACUCCUUUGUAGUCUGUUGUUUUUUAUGGAUGUUUAAAAGAUGUUAGAGCAGCUGUUUAUGUUAGUAUUUUAGAUGAGUGAAAUUCUCCAUGGGUUGAAAGGAAUAACCUACCAUUUUACAUUCCUUCUCUUCCGUGAAGGUCCUGCAAAGCCGUCCCUUCACUGUUUUUAGUACAAUAUUACUAACUUUUCAGUGUUUACAUGAAGGAUGAAAUGUCCUUUAAUUUUUUUUUGUAGGUUCCACACUUACUUGUUUCAAUCUCUUUAUAAUUUAAAGCUUGGCUUGUAUUUCUUGAGUGCAGUUUUUGUUUUAAUUUUUCUAAAUGAAAUCUGUUUAUGAAGAUGGCAGUGUGGGUGAGAUUUCUUGUAUAUAUUUAGCACAGUAUUUAGAAUAUGAAGUUUUACUAUUGUUCUGUAAAGAGGGUGAAUAGAAAUUAUUGUAAAGCGUUGGGAAAAGUAUAGUAAUGUAUUUGUAACAAUAUUGUUCUUUGUAAACACUAAACUCAAUCUCUAUAUAUAAAUAUAAAUAUAUAUAUAAAUAUAUGUGAGCCUGGAAUGUUGAUACUUGCACAUCUAUUGAAUGUAAUUUCCUCUGACGUUUUUUGUCACAGGUCUCUGACCCUCGUCUGUAACGCAGCUCCAGUGGUUUGAUUGAUUUUUUUUUUUUUUUUUGGGCCAGCUGUUUUGUUGUGAUGUAUUUACUGUGCUACAUUCCUUUAUUUAAUGGAGCACUAAUGUCGUACCUCAUUUCACACAGUAACCCGCUUCACUGAGAUGUUUGUUAUUCUGAAGCCUUCAAUAGCCAAGAGCCAUCUACUGGGGAUAAUUCCUAGAGCAACUGCAUUCAUGCCUCUGAAACUCAUCAGAGAAAGGCUAAAAACUUACUAUUUCUGAGUGAAGUUUGAAAUCAACAGAUCCACUGGACUCCAGAAGCUAGGACUUGAAGAGAAAACAAUAAUUAUCAUGAGACUCAUGACAAAACCAUGAGAGUGAGCAACACUGGAUGGAGCUACUUUGCCCACAUUGGUUCAGGCAGACCUCAUGAUGUGCACUGAAAUGAGGUUAGCGCUGUUUGCAAACAGUGAAAAAUAAAUCAGUCCAAGCUCUUUAAUAAUGGAAUGAGGUUAGUUCUUAACUGUCGCCACUAUUCUUUCCUCUCUCUCUCCUCCCUUGCCUUAAAAGAAUGUUAUGGACAAACUCACGUUACAAGUAAAUUACUCGUUUGCUCAUUGAGCUGGCUGGAUGAGUGGCCUCUCUUGUGCAGUUCCUGCCAUCUGGACUAGACUGCCUGAAGUCUUCCUUGUCAGCUCAUUAGCUUGUCAGAUUGUAACAGUAGCCUUUUUAAUUUUUAUUCUUUAGCCCUACUCAGUGACUCUGUAGAGCAAUCGGGCUAGAGGCCCACUGACCCUGCAAAUUUUCUCUGUACUUCAAGGAUCAGGUCCUUCAAAACAGCCAUUCCCAAACUUUGGGUCCCCUGAAAGGAAAAGUGGGCAGAAAUUGACUCUGGGCUCUUGUGUCAAGGAAGUCACACACAAAAAGAAGCCAAAAAAGGUUAAAUGCCACAACACCUACUGUGUACUUUCUUUUUGCUACCAAUCCUUGUCAUGUGAAGUACCGAAGCUAACGGAACAGAUUAAAAAGGAGUCCAAUAGCACUGUGAAUACAAAUGAAUAUAUUAGGACAUAAGCUUUCAUGAGAUAACUCACUUCCUCAGAUGCUGAAAAGAGGCAGAGAUACAGAGAUGAGAUUAUGACAUCAGUGCUAAUUAAAUCAGAAUGGAUAUGGCUUAUCUCCAACAGUAAUGAGAGGGUGAAAGUAUCUGAAGAGGAAAGUACCUAUUGUAAUGUGAGAACCACUUCAUCUUUCUAUUUAACCCUUUUUUCAGGGUGUCAAAUUUGCAUAUGAAUUUCAGCUCAGCAGUUUCUGGUUGCAAUCUGUUUUUGAAGGGUUUUUUGUUUGUUUUUGCGCAUAAGAAUGACAACUUGAAAGUCAGAAACUAUGUGUCCAGGGGAGGUUAAAGUGCUCCCCCCACUUUUUUUUUUAUGUUGCCAUUCUUAAUGUCUGAUUUACCAUUCCAAAAUGGUUCAAAGGUUUCACUUUGAAGUAAUCAGAAAUUGCCCUUGCAGACCAGGUGCUCUAGUACAUGCCUGUCUCUGUGAAACGCAGUGAAUGGUGCCAAUCAUCUACAAGUGAACAGCUUGGGGCAAAGUUAAGUGAUUAAUUACUUAACGGUUAUGCUUUUGACACUAGCCAAUUGCUUGGUGCUGUAGCUGUUGGGCAUGUGGGGAGGAUAAUUUGUCCCACUGAUGACUGUAUUGUUUCACUUAAAAAUCAAAGGACACAGUUUUACUGCUUGAUGUUUAUUAUUAAAAAUGUAGGGGCUGAUCCUGCUCUGAGCUUCAGAUGAGUUAAGGGGGCCUGAAUGCAACAGCUACUUCCCCCAAGCAGAAGGUUCCAGCUAGCAAUCAACAAACAUUAACAUGUACAAGCUGCAUAAACAAAACAAAACACGGAUUCCAGCUAUACAAAUUCAACAGUUUUAUUUAACUAUUUCUCUUCCUUCAAGCCAGCAUAUACGGAAACAAGUCUUUCUCCUUCUAAUCAAGGAAAAGUGAUUUAAUAGUUACCCUAUGUAACACUUU